GAUGAACGCUAGCGGCAGGCCUAACACAUGCAAGUCGAGGGGUAACAUAGAAAAGCUUGCUUUUUUGAUGACGACCGGCGCACGGGUGCGUAACGCGUAUACAAUCUGCCUUAUACUGGGGUAUAGCCUUUAGAAAUGAAGAUUAAUCCCCCAUAGUCUCUAGCUAUGGCAUCAUAGCUAGAGUAAAGGUUACGGUAUAAGAUGAGUAUGCGUUCUAUUAGUUUGUUGGUGAGGUAACGGCUCACCAAGACUACGAUAGAUAGGGGCCCUGAGAGGGGGAUCCCCCACACUGGUACUGAGACACGGACCAGACUCCUACGGGAGGCAGCAGUGAGGAAUAUUGGACAAUGGAGGCAACUCUGAUCCAGCCAUGCCGCGUGCAGGAAGACUGCCCUAUGGGUUGUAAACUGCUUUUAUAUAGGAAGAAACCUUGGUACGUGUACCAAGCUGACGGUACUAUAAGAAUAAGGAUCGGCUAACUCCG
rnacentral:rRNA from 1 species